CCAACGUGCUCUCCGACGGCCAUUCUUCGAGCGACCUCGGUACAGCGCGGGAGCGUCUCGUUCCUCGCUCGAGCAUUGGAGUCGAAGGGCCGCCAAGCUAUAACUCUCUUCCUCAUUGCCUGGAGCGUCGACUCUGAAGGCCUCGACAUCAACUAAACGCGGAAGGAGAAGCUGUGUCAGCUGCUGAAGGGAUGGCCUGGAUGUGGAUCCUCCUGCAGGUGGUGGCGGCCGUGUCCGCUCGGAGCCUGGGCGGGGAACACGGCGUGCCGGCUGUCACCGUAAACCCCGACUGCUUCAGAGCCAACUGCCCACAUAUUAUAGUACCCGGAUGUUACCCACCUACUGUGCCCGGGGGUUGCUGUCCAGAUUGGUCAAAGUGCAAGGACUUCGGCAUGGCUUUUAAGCGUUAAAACAGAAAAAAGUAUCAUCAUUCCUCCAGUGCUGUUCUCGAAAGAUGCAAGCAUAGAAAGAUUUUAAAAAAUAUAUGUUUAGUGUUUAGUCCUAAGAAACGAGACUUUCCCGAAUGAUUUGAUUAAAGUAUAGAAAUAUG